rnacentral:rRNA from 1 species
CCUACGGGAGGCAGCAGUGAGGAAUAUUGGUCAAUGGACGGAAGUCUGAACCAGCCAAGUAGCGUGCAGGAUGACGGCCCUCUGGGUUGUAAACUGCUUUUAUAUGAGAAUAACAUGUUCCACGUGUGUGCUGUUGUGUGUACCAUCUGACUAAGGGUAGGCUCACUCCGUGCCAGCAGCCGCGGUAAUACGGCGGAGCCGAGCGUUAUCCGGAUUUAUUGGGGUUAAAGGGGGCGUAGGCGGAUUGGUAAGUCAGUGGUGAAAGUUUGCGGCUCAACCGUGGAAUUGCAGUUUAUACUGGCAGCCUUGAGUACAGAUGAGGUAGGCGGAAUGCGUGGUGUAGCGGUGAAAUGCUUAGAUAUCACGAAGAACUCCGAUUGCGAAGGCAGCCUACUAAACGGCAACUGACAUUGAUGCUCGAAAGUGUGGGUAUCAAACAGGAUUAGAUACCCUUGUAGUC